GAGACACUCAUAUGGAGUAGGACUUGCUUCAGUGAGGAUUUCUUGCUCAAUGAGUCUGCCCCUUGAGUGUGUCACU
rnacentral:pre_miRNA from 1 species